GACCAACAAUCUGGUUAUUCUUUUCAGUUUUCUUAUAAAUGUUGGAAUAAUACAGAAAGGAGAACAGAAUGAGCUGGGCUUUGGAAGAAUGGAAGGAAGGCCUCCCUACAAGAGCUCUACAGAAAAUUCAAGAGCUUGAAGGACAGCUAGACAAACUGAAGAAAGAAAAGCAGCAAAGACAGUUUCAACUUGAUACUCUAGAGGCUGCACUGCAAAAACAGAAACAGAAGGUAUCACUGACAUUUGACAGUAUUCACUUGUUUUUUGGAUUAAUUAUUUCACCUUUAAAUUUAGAGAGAGGGCUGGGGUUGUGGCUCAGCAGUAGAGUGCUUGCCUAGACUGAGUUCGAUUCUCAGCACUACAUAUAAAUAAAUGAAUAAAAUAAAGGUCCACCAAUGUCUAAAAAAUACUUUUUAAAAAAUUUGAUUUAAUUAGUUACACAUGACAGGACAAUGAUCUUGACAUAUCAUAUAUUUUAAUCAGAUGGGAUAUAAUUUCUCAUUUUUCUGAGUGUACAGGUUGCAGAAUCACAUUGGUCAUGCAUCAAUGCAUCAAUGUCUAAAAAAUACUUUAAAAAAAUUAGAAGUGAUUUUGUGGUAAUCCCCUUCCUUCUCUUCAGACUUUUUAUUUUUUUAAAAUUUGUUUUAAUUUUUUAUUCUAAUUUGUUAUAUAUGACAGCAGAAUGUAUUACAACUCAUAUUACACUUAUAGAGCACAAGUUUUCAUAUCUCUGGUUGUAUACAAAGUAUAUUCAUGUUGUUUGUGUCUUCAUACAUGUACUUAGGGUAAUGAUGUCCAUCUUAUUCCACUGUCUUUCCUACCCCCUUGCCCCCUCCCUUCCCCUCCCAUUCCUUUGCCCUGUCUAGAGUUUGUCUAAUCUUCCCAUGCUCCCCCUCCCAACCCCAGACAUUUUUAAUUGCCUCAAAUUUCCUUGAUCUUUUCCCCCUUUUCGGCCUAUUUGCUGAUAUUUAGGGCUGUUGAGUUCCUUUUAAACCUAUGUUUGGGAACCUGAAUUGGAAAUUGCAGUUGCAUUUCACAGCAAAGGCCAAAGUUCCUGGCUUCAAAUCGGGUUAUUAUUACAGUCUUUUUAUAGAAAAUGGAGACCACUUUCUGAUAUGGGCUUUUUAUCUUGGUAUUCCCCAAUUUCUCUUCGGGGCUAGUAAAUGAAAACUUAAAUAGUACUUCUUUGUACCUCUGUAUUAACCAACAAAGUAGUGGUAUGAUCAUUGCUUCUAAAAUUUUUUUUGUUUUGUUUUGUUUUUUUGCUUGUGGGAGAAUUUUCUGAUUUCUUGCAAUAACUGACUUUAGCCAGACUUGAAAAUGAAUUGCUGAGGGAGAGGUAUAGUGUUCAUUUGUAAUUUUUUUAUUCUUAAAACGAUGAUAAAGCUUGACUUGCUAGAUGAAUAGGGGUAGCCCUGACCAAAAGAUAGUGUAAAAUGUGAUUUUGUAGAACUUUUCUGUUUAUAGGCUUCAGAAUGUGGUGACCUAAAAUUUCUGUGUUCAGAAACAUUGACGUCUUGCUUAUUACAACUUUACCUCAGAGGAUUGUUAAAUCCACAAGUACACUUGGUAAAUUUGCAAAAUAAGGGACCUGUUUCCUUCCCAAUGAUUCCUAUUAGGUUGAAAAUGAAAAAACCGAGGGUACAAACCUGAAAAGGGAGAAUCAAAGAUUGAUGGAAAUAUGUGAAAAUUUGGAGAAAACUAAGCAAAAGAUUUCUCAUGAACUUCAAGUCAAGGAGUCACAAGUGAAUUUCCAAGAAGGACAAUUGAGUGCAGGCAAAAAACAAAUAGAAAAACUGGAACAGGAACUUAAAAGGUAAUUUAUUUGAAUGGGAUUUAUAUGAAUAUUAUUUCUAUGUCAUCAGAUACAUUUAUUAUUUUCUUUAAUGAUAUAGUUGAUAUAUUUUGAAAUAUAUUUUUCCUCUGGUGGAGUAAGCAGUGAUUCAGUUCAGUUAUGACAUGGCUCAAUACAAAUUCAUCAAAUGGUUGCUUAUUUAUUCAUUUAACUUUAUUAGGCUGGUCCAUUCGAUAGAUGCUAUAUUGGUCACUGGGAUGAUACAAUAAUGGAUAAUAGCUCAUUUGUUAAUAAUGGUCACUAAUAGAUGGAAGGAAGUGAAAGCAUGGCUUAUCCUGAUGGCUCAUGUUUUCUCUGGCUGGAAAAGCUAUUAUAGAGAAUGAAGGGGAGAACUAAAACUAGGGAAUUGUGAAAGGAUUGAGGAGCAAAAAAGGCCCAGUUGAAGUUGCAGAUUAGAAAUUUGUAGCAGAACCAAUAUGGAGGAGUGUGUAGGGUGGGGUGAGGUGAGGUGAGGGUUUCUUAUAGCAUCUGGGAUCUGAAGUGCUGAGAAACUGAAUGGGCAGAUUGAUUUAAGUUUGUUUGGGGCAGGAUAAUGGGAUUGAAUACAAUGGAAUAAUUGAGGGUAAAGCAAAACUAAGCAAAAGAUUUCUCAUGAGCUUUAAGUCAAGGAGUCACAGAGAGUGGUUUAAUAUACCAUAGGUUCUAAGCUGGAGGGAGUAAGUGAAGUCCUGAAGAGGUUCCUACUGAGAUUCUUCUCUGAGAGUUCCAUCUUUCAUUUUAAGCAUUAUAAAACCAGUUUGCCAGUUUAAGCAAUAAAAAAGUUGUUUAGUACCACUUUCAUUAAAAAAAUCCCCCAAUUGGAGGUGUUAAUACAAAUAAAUUCAAUGGAGUCUAAUCAUUACUAGCUAAGAAAGGCUAUACUCUUGUUCUAAUGAUAGAAUUUUGUCAAAAUAAUAAGGAGUGAUGCCGCAGUCUGGCUGGGCACAAAAUAACCGAGCCGCCAUGAGGCACUUGUAGGUUCAAACAGGAACUCCUUUAUUGCCCGAACUCCCAUGAAUGCCACCCACGCGGCCCUUCCAGGAACACCACUCCAACUGGAACUCCCUCCACCAGAAAGUCACCCACCAACUCGAACUCCCCAGGAAUCCCUGUGAGAACUGCGGACAGCAGGGGUUUAUAUACAAUUGAAUACACAGCUUAACUUAACCAUCAUUUUGAUGGCUCCAUGGCAUCACCUCUCAACCACUCCCUCUGGCAAAAUGCCAGGUGCCACCCCUAUUUGGAGAAAGCCAAAUGAUUCCAUAAAAGGUAGUGGGACCAUUUCAAAGAUGCCUAAUGAUGAAGGUAAGAACAUGAAAUCCACACAUUAUGUCCUUCAAAAUAAACUCCAGAUGCUCAGAGACAUUAAAUGUAGAAAUCAUCAAAGUACAGGAAUAAAAUAAAUGAAAGUUUGCACGAUAUAGGAGGAUUUCUGAACCUCAAUGUGGAAAGCAAGGACUCGGCUGUGGCCCUCAACAGAGUGAUAAUAGCUUAAAGGACUUAAGUACAUUGUCCCAUUGACUCCACAAACAUACACAGAAAUUAAAAAGUAAACAACCACCACCUUAUUUUUGAAGUAAACUUGAAACUUGAAGAAAAUUUGCAAGCCUAGUAGAGUUCUUUUAUAUCCUUUAUCCAGAUUUCUUCUGUUGUUAAUACCUUAUAUAACAAAGUACACUCCCAAGCAGGAAAUAACACUGAUUUUGUACUAUUAACUAUAUAUUUCAUUAGAGUUUCACUGGUAUUACUAGUCAUGUCCUUUUUCUGUGCCCAGGAUUCCACACUGCAUUUAGUUGAGGUUUUCUUUGCCUUUUCUAAGUUGUGAUGGUUCCUUAUCUUUUGUGACCUUCAUAUUUUGAAAAAUACCUGUCAGUUGUUUUGGAGAAUGGCUUCAAUUUGGGUUUGGCUGAUUUUUUUUUUUUUUUACUGAUUAGAUCAGUGUUUCUGAACAGUAGCCCUCUUGAUGUUUUGGACUGGAUUACCUGCUUGUUGUAGGAUACUGGACAGCAUCCAUAUCUCCUAACCACUAGAUGCCAGUAUCAUCUACUCCAUUCCAUUGGGAUGAUUAAACAAGUCUCCAGGCUUUGCUAAAUGUCCUUUGGAAGAGUGAAAUUUUCUCUGGUUGAGAAUCACUGGAUCAGAUUGGGGUUAUGAAUUUUACUGCAGAAGUACCAAUGUGCUUUUCUCCGUAUAGCAUAUCAGAUGUCUGUAACUUAAGUUUCUUCCUUUGUAAAGGUCCGGGACCGCUACUAUAAAGUUACUGUUUUUUUCCUUUGUAACUAAUGAAUACCUUGAUAUCAUGAAAUUAAUUUUUCUGGCAUAGCUAUAAUAAUUUCAAUUGUAACUGUUACCACUGUUGACUGGUGACGAGUCCUUGCUUCCCCAAUGUUGAAGAAUAACACCAGAGAAGCACGCUGAGGCAAGGUCAGAGUAGAAAUUAGAAGUUUAUUAAAGGACAGCAGAAAAGACUUCUCCCAGAGGAAGAAGGGGACCCAAGAGGUGGAAUCCCUGGAAGUGCAGUUGUUUCCCCUUUUUAUAAUUCUUUCAGUGAUGGAAUGUAGGUUGGAAGGCCCGAGGGGUGGGACACAGGUGGGCCAAAGAAGUAAACUGGGCAGGAAGGACUUCAUUAACAUUCCUUUGCAAUGGGCUAUCUUCAAAUCUGCUGGGGCUGUUCAUUAACAUUUCUUUGGGAUGGACUUUGGGCCUAGGGCUUUUCUUGGGACUUCAUUAACAUUCCAUGGCCUCCAUUUUAGAUCUUACUUGAUAUUAGACCCGAUUUACCUAACUACACUGACUACCUAAUUUUAAAUCUGGCUUCAUAACUACAUAUCAACAAUAGUUUUGAAAGUUAAAAUAUUUAAAAAUCACUCUCAUCUUUCUGUGAAGGUGAUAAUUUUCCUGUAUAAAAAUCGUUUUUCUAAUUUUUCUUCCUCUUCAUGUAGAAUGAUGGCUAUUUGUAAGUUGCAUGUUAAAAAGAUAAACUUCUAUCUCACUUAGUUCUAUGAGAACAGGAACCUUCUUUUUUUUUGCCAGUAAUUUUAUAAACAAUUAUUUAUUUAAAAAAUACUACAGAGGAGAGAUUUAGAUUAAAAACACACACACACACACACACACACAGAGUCAUAUUCAGAAACAAAAAUGUAUUGGACCAAGGGAGAGAAAAGAGGACCCCUUGGCAUCCAGAAGGGAGUACAGUGGAAAACCAUUUUAUACAUCAUUUAUAAAAGAGCAUGUCUAUAAAAGAGUAGAAUAUACAAAGCAUAAAUGCAAAAUAUAGUGGCACAUCAUGUAAGAAGAGAGACCAGUACCUCCUGGACACGGGCAGUUGGGGAGUGGGAGGGUGUGUGGCUUUGUCUCAAGGCUGCUGGCAGUGUGGUGGUGAACAGGGACCUUUUCUGUCUUGUUCAGUGCUAUAUCCAUAGCACCUGAAGUGGUAUAUCUUCAAAUAUUUGUUGAAGGAAUCAAAGAAAGAUAAUUAGUUUUGGAAGACAGGAGUUAGGGAAGUAGGAAGCUCACCUUAUUAUGCUGGAAUCUCUGCUUCUUUGGAAAGCACAUUUUGGGAGCUGGAUUUAGAAAUACUGGUUUUGGUAAUUUAGGUAGAAAUAGAAAUGCUUAUAUUUUUAACAUCUUAAUAAAAGGUUACUAUUGUAUGCAUUUCUAUAUUUGAUUGCAAAGUGUCAUUUGGUAGCAAUACCAAUAUACACCCAGGUUUGUGCAAGACAUCUAGCAACUAUAAAUAUUAUCCAUUUUAAUAGUUGUCACCUGGCACCGUGGCAUAAGCCUGUAAUCCUAGCAGCUCAGGAGGCUGAGGCAGAAAGAUUGCAAGCUUAAAGCCAGCCUCACCAAUUUAGCAAGGUCCUAAGCAACUCAGUGAUCCCCUGGCUCUAAGCAAAAACAUAAAAAAGGGCUGAAGAUGUGGCUCAGUGAUUAAGUGCCCCUGGGUUCAAUCGCUGGUACCAAAAAAAAAAAAAAAAAAAGUUGACACUGUCGUCCUCAUGGGGUUAGGACACUUUUAUGGUAUAUUUAGUUUAAAAAUAUUACCAGGCAUGGUAGCCUAUAAUCCCAGCUACUCUGGAAGCCAAUGCAAGAAAAUUGCAGGUUCAGGGCCAACCUGGGCAACCUGUAUAAAAAUAAAAUAAUUAUUAGCUAUAUGGUUAUACAUACUAUAGAGUAUAGAAACUUGAAUGUAGGUUUCUACAUUAUAAAAAUUUAUGAGUGCAAUAACUAUAGAUUGCAGAAAAGAUUGAAUAUAAUUUUUAGAUUCUUACUGACAACUUUCAAAUGGCAGGAAUUUAUUUACUCUAUCAGUAACUACUGAUUAGGUUUCCGGAGAGUCUUCAACAAGUUAGACUUAACCUUUUAGAAUAUUUGUCGAAAGUAUAGGUAUUGGCAAUCUAAAAGGUUCAACAUAGUAGAAACAAUUUAAUUUAGUGCUUUAUUGGUAGCAGUGUCUUUUAUUUUUCUACCUGGGGUGGAAGGAGGAAAAAAAAUGUUACAGUAGGAUAUAUUUUUACUUAAUAUUAAGAUAAAGUAUAUAUUUUUUGUUUAUAAAUGAAAGGAUAGUGAAGAGGAAGUAAGAUGUGAAUUUGAGAGGGAAAAGAAACAUUAGUUUUGCAAGGUUCUUCAAAAUUUGUCUCUAGAAUCAGCUUGUUACGCCUUUUAUAGCCUAUAUACUUGCACUGCCAAUAUGGUACCCACUGGCUACAUAUGGCUCUUAAAAUGUGCUCCUAAUUGAGAUGUGUGUAUAUUGCGUACUUAGUUCUGAAGAUUUACUACAAAAAAUGUCUCAAUUUUUAAAUUUCAAGUCAAACAGAGUAUCUCCACAGUGGCAAGUUAACAAAACUUAAAAAUUAAUUUCACUUGUUUGCUGUUGCUCUUUAAAUACUAGCAGAAGAUUUCUAUUGGGCAUUGCUUUCCCAACUGUAAACUUUCAUGUGCUGAGUUGUCAUUAUUUUUAGCUCAAUUGGUGUUUCUUCCUUCCCAGAUUGAAUUGGAGCUGGGAGAAGUUAAGGGCACUGACUUACUUCCUUUACUACUUUCUUCACUCCUUGCUUUGAGUAAUAUACCCAAGGAAAGAGAGCAUAUCCUUAGCCAUUUUAAUAGGGUGUUGAUUUUAUUUCUUACAUUAAGCAAAAUUUGAGACAUUAGAGACUUGCAAGAGUUGAAAAUUCUUUAACAUCAGAAUUGAACCCUUUUUUUAACCUGGAUUAUUUUGUUCUGAGAUGUAUUUAAAAUUUACUUGUAGGAUAGGAAUAUUAUUCUAUUCAUAUAUAAAUUACUUAACUCAUUUCUUUGUAACUAUUUCUAGCCAUAUCUUUUCUAGGUGUAUAUUAUUAAUUUUUAUAUAAAAAUGUCAUAUAAUGCCUGAUCUAGACAUCAAGACUGAUUUUGAAAUGAUUAAAUAUCAUAAGUUGUAUCAUCCAUUCUUGUGAUUUGUGAUUGCUUCAAUGAUAUAAUUUUUUCCCCAUGUUUCCGAAGUUCUGAGUUCUUACAAGUCCCUAUUCUUUCUUUGACUUAGAAUAUAAAAUUUGUUGUAAUAUAUCCUCAACCCUCCAACUCUUUGCUGAUGUAGUGGUUAUUACAGAUCUUCAUUAAAGUCUUUAUAACAUUUUAAUUAUUGGCGUAUAGUUAUAUUUCUGUAACUUUUGACUCCAUUCUUUUGAGGAAUUACUGCAUUUAUAAUUAGCACUUAUUAAAUUAAUUUUUAUUCAAUGUCUAUGGUUAGUUGUUCUUAAACAAUGGGUUUCUUUGUAAGUCCUUUUUCCACUGGUAAUGUAUGACAUUGGUAUUCUGUAGCCUUUCUUCUAACUGAUUUGUCACGUUUUGCAUUAUUUUCUAACAGGUAUAAAUCUGAACUUGAAAGAAGUCAACAAGCUGCGCAGUCUGCAGAUGUCUCCCUGAAUCUGUGCA
rnacentral:lncRNA from 1 species